ACACUGGGAGACAUGGGGACAGUUGUGGACAAAGACAUGUGGACACUGGGACAUAUAGGGACACUGGGAGACAUGGGGACACCAGGCACACUGAGACACUAGGAACACAGGCACUGGGAGACAUGGAGACACUGAAACAUUUGUGGACACUAAGACACUAGGGACACAGACACUGGGAGACUAGGGGAAACUGUGAGACUAGGGGAUACUGGGAGACUAGGGGACACUGGCUGGGAGACAGACACUUGGGGAGACAUGGGGACAGUUGUGGACAUAGACAUGGGGACACUGGGACACAUGGGGAC